GUUUCGUGGAUCACUUGGAAGACCCAGCAAUAUACCGUUGUUUUUAAGGACACUUAUGUAGUUGAGGUAUCCAAUACAGUGAUCGAAGAUCCAGUUCUUCAUCUUUGGUUGAAAUUUCAAAGGAACAUAGAACAGACCUAUGAUUAUCCAGGAUUUCCUCUUUGGUAAGUGUCGUGAGGGUAUAUGUUGAGUUUCCAAGUGAAUUG
rnacentral:lncRNA from 1 species